UGUCCAAUGCGGGAAUCGAACCCGGGUCCUAGUGGUCGAAAACCAAACGGUUCACCAACGGCUGAACGCCAACC